GAAGACCUCAGAAAACCUGAUCAACAUGAAAUAUGGACAGUAAGCAAGCCUGGAUCUGAGAGAGAUAUCAUCUUGCAAGGAUGCCUGCUUUACAAACAUCCUUGAAACAACAAUCCAGAAAAAAAAAGGUGUUGCUGUCUUUGCUCAGAAGACACACAGAUACGUGACAGAACCAUGGAGAAUUGCCUCCCAACACUGUUCAGC
rnacentral:lncRNA from 1 species